GCAGUCGUGGUUAAGUGGUAGAAUAUGACCUUGCCAAGGUUGUGACCCGAGUUCGAUUCUCGGCGACUGCA
rnacentral:tRNA from 1 species